GAAUAGCCCCGAUGGCAAUGAUAUCCUGCGCUUUUUCUGCGCAGAUUUAAUGAACAGCGGGACAAAAG
rnacentral:sRNA from 1 species